CUUUAAUAUCUGGAGCUCAUAGGUGGGAGAUAAAGUAUACAUACUCACAAGACAUUUAUUGCAUAGUCAAACCAUGGAUCCAAAGAAACAAAUCAAUAAGUCAAAUCAAGAUGUGCAUGUGUGGCGAAUUAAUGGUGUAUGGUGAUGAUAAUGAUAACAAUGGUGAAAGUCUAAUUCUAUUUUUGCUCUUUUGAGGGGAUACAUACCUUCCUUGCUCUUUGAAACUUUGUGAGGCGAAUGAGAUGCUCUAUAUUUUAUUUUUUCUUUCCUCUCAAGUGGGCAUCUUGUACCCCUAAUUCUACUGUCGGACACUUGUCCAUUUUUACCUCUCGUCUCACUUUUUUUCUUUUUCGAGGUUCCAGGCACUUGCCCCUUUUUAUUUCCUUGUAUCUCUCUUUUUUUAGAGCACUCAUCUCAUGAAAUAAUAUAGCAAGUGGCAGUAACCAAGAUAACUUGAGCAUUUAUUUCACAGGGGAAAACAGAAAUGUCUUUGGCUAUUCUCUCCUGGAUUAGGAGUAGAAUAUUUUUUGGGUGGUUCUGGAGAUGGAAAUGAGUGGAUAUAUGUGGAUGCGUACUUUCAGAGUAGAAACAGCAUGUGUGAGUGAACGUGCAAGUGAAUCUUGAUUUUAACCACAUGACAAGCUCCUAAGGGUC
rnacentral:lncRNA from 1 species